rnacentral:rRNA from 1 species
AACGAACGCUGGCGGCAUGCCUAACACAUGCAAGUCGAACGAGACCUUCGGGUCUAGUGGCGCACGGGUGCGUAACGCGUGGGAACCUGCCCUUAGGUUCGGAAUAACUCCCCGAAAGGGGUGCUAAUACCGGAUAAUGUCUUCGGACCAAAGAUUUAUCGCCUUUGGAUGGGCCCGCGUUGGAUUAGCUAGUUGGUAGGGUAAAAGCCUACCAAGGCGACGAUCCAUAGCUGGUCUGAGAGGAUGAUCCGCCACACUGGGACUGAGACACGGCCCAGACUCCUACGGGAGGCAGCAGUGGGGAAUAGUGGACAAUGGGCGAAAGCCUGAUCCAGCAAUGCCGCGUGAGUGAUGAAGGCCUUAGGGUUGUAAAGCUCUUUUACCCGGGAUGAUAAUGACAGUACCGGGAGAAUAAGCGCCGGCUAACUCCGUG